AAGGGACCUCCCUGCCCCGCGACAGGUUAACUAGAGGAAUGUCAGGUGAUUUUUCAAGGAGGCGGUUGAAAGACCGGCCUUGAGAGGACAUUCUCUUUCUUGAGCUUUCGUGGGUUACAAGAUCGAAUUGCACAUCCAGCUUACUCUAUCGACAGCCCAGCCAGAUGAAGGGAAGCCAGGGGUUUUAUAAGAGUCAGCGAAGGUAGCUUCCCCAGAUCCAGAACUAUUAACCAAUCCAACAAGGGAAGCUCGCAGUAAGAAAGUCAAUCUAUUUCAAGGUUCGGACAGUUGUCUUUUCUUUCUUCAACGGCGAAUGGAAAGGCAUAAGAAAGCGAGAGCUUACAUUUCGUUUUCUGUUUUUUAAAAAG
rnacentral:lncRNA from 1 species